GAUCAAGUGAAUAAGCGCAUUUGGUGGAUGCCUUGGCGAUAACAGGCGAUGAAGGACGUUGUAGUCUGCGAUAAGCCUCGGGGAGCUGACAAACAAGCUUUGAUCCGAGGAUUUCCGAAUGGGGAAACCCACCGCACUCGUGCGGUAUCCGCAUCUGAAUACAUAGGAUGUGUGAAGCGAACCCGGGGAACUGAAACAUCUAAGUACCCGGAGGAAAAGAAAUCAACCGAGAUUCCCUUAGUAGCGGCGAGCGAAAGGGGACCAGCCGAAUCAAUUAACUGUAGUGGAAGAUUCUGGAAAGUUUCGCGAAACAGGGUGAUAGCCCCGUACACGAAACGGUUAGUUGGACAUAUUAAGUAGGGCGGGGCACGUGAAACCUUGUCUGAAGAUCGGGGGACCAUCCUCGAAGGCUAAAUACUCGUUAUCGACCGAUAGUGAACCAGUACCGUGAGGGAAAGGCGAAAAGAACCCCGGAGAGGGGAGUGAAAUAGAACCUGAAACCGGAUGCGUACAAGCAGUGGGAGCUCUUCGGAGUGACUGCGUACCUUUUGUAUAAUGGGUCAGCGACUUAAUUUUUGUGGCGAGCUUAACCGUUAGGGAAGGCGUAGGGAAACCGAGUCUGAAUAGGGCGUUUUAGUCGCAAGGAUUAGACCCGAAACCUGGCGAUCUAUCCAUGGGCAGGUUGAAGGUGAGGUAAUACUCACUGGAGGACCGAACUCACUAAUGUUGAAAAAUUAGGAGAUGACCUGUGGAUCGGAGUGAAAGGCUAAUCAAGCCAGGAGAUAGCUGGUUCUCCUCGAAAGCUAUUGAGGUAGCGCCUCGUGUAUCACUGUUGGGGGUAGAGCACUGUUUCGGCUAGGGGGCACACAAGUGUUUACCAAACCGAUGCAAACUCCGAAUACCAACAAGUGCAAUCACGGGAGACACACGGCGGGUGCUAACGUCCGUCGUGGAAAGGGAAACAACCCAGACCGCCAGCUAAGGUCCCAAAAUCAUGUCUAAGUGGUAAACGAUGUGGAAAGGCACAAACAGCCAGGAGGUUGGCUUAGAAGCAGCCACCCUUUAAAGAAAGCGUAAUAGCUCACUGGUCGAGUCGGUCUGCGCGGAAGAUAUAACGGGGCUCAAGGCAUGUACCGAAGCUGCGGAUGCGUAUUUAUACGCAUGGUAGAGGAGCGUUCUGUAAGUCUGUGAAGGUGAAUCGUAAGGUUUGCUGGAGAUAUCAGAAGUGCGAAUGCUGACGUGAGUAACGAUAAUGCGGGUGAAAAACCCGCACACCGAAAACCCAAGGUUUCCUGCGCAACGCUUUUCGGCGCAGGGUAAGUCGGCCCCUAAGGCGAGGGCGAAAGCCGUAGUUGAUGGGAAACAGGCUAAUAUUCCUGUACUUGAUAUGACUGCGAUGGGGGGACGGAGAAGGUUAGGCAGGCCAGGCGUUGGUUGUCCUGGUUUAAGCGAGUAGGCUGAUUUCUUAGGCAAAUCCGGGAAAUCAAGGCCGAGACGUUAUGACGAAGUCCUCUUUUGGACGAAGCUGUUGAUACCAUGCUUCCAGGAAAAUCCUCUAAGCUUCAGGUCAUAUCAAACCGUACCCCAAACCGACACAGGUGGGUUGGAUGAGAAUUCCAAGGUGUAUGAGACAACUCGGGUGAAGGAACUCGGCAAAAUGGUACCGUAACUUCGGGAGAAGGUACGCCCCUGGUAUGUGUAAGGACUUGCUCCUGAAGCAGAAGGGGGUUGCAGUGACCAGUUGGCUGCGACUGUUUAGCAAAAACACAGCACUCUGCAAACUCGUAAGAGGACGUAUAGGGUGUGACGCCUGCCCGGUGCCGGAAGGUUAAUUGAUGGGGUUAGCUUCGGCGAAGCUCUUGAUCGAAGCCCCGGUAAACGGCGGCCGUAACUAUAACGGUCCUAAGGUAGCGAAAUUCCUUGUCGGGUAAGUUCCGACCUGCACGAAUGGCGUAACGAUGGCCAAACUGUCUCCACCCGAGACUCAGUGAAAUCGAAAUCGCUGUGAAGAUGCAGUGUUCCCGCGGCUAGACGGAAAGACCCCGUGAACCUUUACUAUAGCUUUACGCUGAAUUUUGAGUAUUUUUGUGUAGGAUAGGUGGGAGACUUUGAAACUUGGGCGCCAGCUCAGGUGGAGUCAUCCUUGAAAUACCACCCUGAAAUACUUGGAAUUCUAACCUCGACCCAUUAUCUGGGUUAGGGACAGCGUAUGGUGGGUAGUUUGACUGGGGCGGUCUCCUCCCAAAGAGUAACGGAGGAGCGCGAAGGUAACCUCAGCACGGUCGGAAAUCGUGCAAUGAGUGCAAAGGCAUAAGGUUGCUUGACUGCGAGUCAGACACGACGAGCAGGUACGAAAGUAGGUCUUAGUGAUCCGGUGGUUCUGUAUGGAAGGGCCAUCGCUCAACGGAUAAAAGGUACUCCGGGGAUAACAGGCUGAUUCCUCCCAAGAGUCCACAUCGACGGAGGAGUUUGGCACCUCGAUGUCGGCUCAUCACAUCCUGGGGCUGAAGCAGGUCCCAAGGGUAUGGCUGUUCGCCAUUUAAAGUGGUACGCGAGCUGGGUUCAGAACGUCGUGAGACAGUUCGGUCCCUAUCUGCCGUGGGCGUUUGAGAUUUGAGAGGAGCUGUCCUUAGUACGAGAGGACCGGGAUGGACGCACCACUGGUGUUUCUGUUGUCAUGCCAAUGGCAUUGCAGAGUAGCUACGUGCGGACGGGAUAACCGCUGAAAGCAUCUAAGCGGGAAGCCCCCCUCAAGAUAAGAUCUCACUAGAGCUUUAAGCUCUCUUAAGGGCCGUUGGAGACUACGACGUUGAUAGGCUGGGUGUGGAAGUGCAGCAAUGUAUGAAGCUAACCAGUACUAAUUGCCCGUGAGGCUUGAUCAU
rnacentral:rRNA from 1 species